rnacentral:rRNA from 1 species
CUCGUAGGCGGUUCAACAAGUCGAUCGUGAAAGCCCGGGGCUCAACCCCGGGACGCCGGUCGAAACUGUUGUGACUAGGGUCCGGUAGAGGUGAGUGGAAUUCUCGGUGUAGCGGUGGAAUGCGCAGAUAUCGAGAGGAACACCAGUAGCGAAGGUGGCUCACUGGGCCGGUACCGACGCUGAGGAGCGAAAGCAUGGGGAGCAAACAGGAUUAGAUACCCUGGUAGUCC